rnacentral:rRNA from 1 species
UACGUAGGGUGCAAGCGUUGUCCGGAAUUAUUGGGCGUAAAGAGCUCGUAGGCGGUCUGUCGCGUCUGCUGUGAAAACUCAGGGCUUAACCCUGAGCUUGCAGUGGGUACGGGCAGACUAGAGUGCGGUAGGGGAGACUGGAAUUCCUGGUGUAGCGGUGAAAUGCGCAGAUAUCUGGAGGAACACCGGUGGCGAAGGCGGCAUCCUGGACCGGUAUUGACGCUGAGGCGCGAAAGCUAGGGGAGCAAACGGG